AUUGAACGCUGGCGGCAGGCCUAACACAUGCGAGUCGAGCGGAUGAAGGGAGCUUGCUCCUGGACUCAGCGGCGGACGGGUGAGUAAUGCCUAGGAAUCUGCCUGGUCGUGGGGGAUAACGUCCGGAAACGGGCGCUAAUACCGCAUCCGUCCUGAGGGAGAAAGUGGGGGAUCUUCGGAUGUCACGCUAUCAGAUGAGCCUAGGUCGGAUUAGCUAGUUGGUGGGGUAAAGGCCUACCAAGGCGACGAUCCGUAACUGGUCUGAGAGGAAGGUCAGUCACACUGGAACAGAGACUGGGUCCAGACUCCUACGGUGGGCAGCAGUGGGGAAUAUUGGGCGAUGGGCGAGAGCCUGAUCCAGCCAUGCCGCGUGUGUGAAGAAGGUCUUCGGAUGGUAGAGCGCUUUAAGUUGGGGGGAAGGGCAGUAAGUUAAUACCUUGCGGUAUUGACGUUACCAACAGAAUAAGCACCGGCUAACUUCGUG
rnacentral:rRNA from 1 species